rnacentral:rRNA from 1 species
GUCCAUGCCGUAAACGUUGGGCACUAGGUGUGGGGAACAUUCCACGUUUUCCGCGCCGUAGCUAACGCAUUAAGUGCCCCGCCUGGGGAGUACGGCCGCAAGGCUAAAAACUCAAAGGAAUUGACGGGGGCCCGCACAAGCGGCGGAGCAUGCGGAUUAAUUCGAUGCAACGCGAAGAACCUUACCAAGGCUUGACAUACACCGGAAGUGCUCAGAGAUGGGCAUGUCUUCGGACUGGUGUACAGGUGGUGCAUGGUUGUCGU